UACGAAGGGGGCUAGCGUUGCUCGGAAUUACUGGGCGUAAAGGGCGCGUAGGCGGCACUGUUAGUCAGGCGUGAAAGUCCUGGGCUCAACCUGGGAACUGCGCUUGAUACGGCAGAGCUAGAGGAUGGAAGAGGGUCGCGGAAUUCCCAGUGUAGAGGUGAAAUUCGUAGAUAUUGGGAAGAACACCGGUGGCGAAGGCGGCGACCUGGUCCAUUACUGACGCUGAGGCGCGACAGCGUGGGGAGCAAACAAG
rnacentral:rRNA from 1 species